AGCGGGGAGAAGGGGGCUGGGUCCCUCCACGGACUGCAAAUCCGCUCGGCCUGGACGUAACCCGUCCGGGGGUUGGUUCGAUUCCAACUCUCCCCU
rnacentral:tRNA from 1 species